rnacentral:lncRNA from 1 species
GUAAGCUUAAGUGCAGAAUUUUUUUUGCGCGUUAUGAAAACAAUGCACUGCAGGUAUUUUAAUUAAUGCAACGAGCUGUAUGAAAUAUCGGUCAAGGGGUUGGAAACGUCGUUAUAGAGAAUCCCGACGAUUUUUCUUUUGCGUGUGUGUAUUUGGAGUUGAUUCACAGUUUUAUUUGUUUAUUUUGGCUACAUUGCGCCAAUUGCGCUUCCAUAGAAUAAAGAAACGCGCUUCCACGCGCUUGCCGACUCGAUCGCAAGGGGACAGCCUGAUCAACAUCAAUAUCAGCAGCAAUGGCGGAUUUGCGCUUGCCAUGGCGCUUGCAAAGUUUUCAAUAGUUUUCGACUACUAAGUGAUGCUUUUGCUAUUUUAACGUGUGGAGGUUCAUUGUACGUCUGUUUUUUCAAGUUUGGCAUGUGUUUUAACACGUGAAGGUGUAGUCUUUUCUUCUUCAGCGGAUAUUUGUACAAGACCCCGUUCACCGUCUAUCAGCUCUAGCUCGGCAAGAAUAAAGCGGUUCCUUAGAAGUGGUGGAGGUGCUGGGGUUCUGCAUACCAAGGACGUAUAAGGUAACAGUGUUUGUGCCUUUAAUAUGUCUCAUUCCAUCAUUUUGAGACGUGGUGGUGUUCAUGCGUUAGCACAGUGCAAGGACAUCCACAAUGUAAGAGGUACAUGAUUCUCGAAUUGUAUACUCUCUCUGGGCUUUUCUCGCGACCUCAGCACAAGUAGUGGGAGCAUCAAAAAACUGACAAAGCUGGUGCAUGAAUGUUGCCCAGUGUUGGUGUUCCUUGGUGUUGAAAUUAUCCUUCCUUUCUCUAAAUCCAAGGGCGAGAUCUUGCAUUCUGAAUGUUUGCUUGCACUCUCAUUAUUCGCCUUCACCAUGCUUUCGUCAGCGGUCAUCUGCUUGGUGAAGUGGGAGCGCCUAUUGAACACUGCCUACUCACUGAUGUAGAAGGUGAAGCAAACAGUCAGAAAGCUAGAAGCUUGCCCAAUCUCAUCCCAGGUAUUUAAUCCAGUUUGACAUUGAAGCAUCCUGGUAGUAUUAAAGUACUUUAGAAAGAGGUUCCAGAAGCAUUGCCAAGUUUGCCACUUGGUGAAAUUUGUAGUUUGGAAACAAUUUAGGCUCUUAGCAAGAUUAGUAGUGAACAGAGGUUUUCACAUGGCGAUUGGUGUUGUCCAAAUGCAUGAAGAGGUCACAGUACGAGUACUUAAGCUGAUAGUGUCGGGUAACCAUAAGCACCAGCAGGGGCCCCGUAACAGUGUCCCCUUUAACUUCAUAUAUGCUUCACUGCAUGAUGCUAAAUAUGCUUCGCCGCAUAACACGACUCUGCUGCAGCGAAGGUGACUUAAACCGACAACAGCCGAGAAGGUGCAAACAGCACUGCGCUGCCUGGUUCUUGCUGUUGGCCUUUUCUUCUUUUCACAGUGUCCUUACUGUAAGUGCACUCCAGAGUUACAAUGCAGGAAUAUGCAUGUGUGCAUAAGCUUUCAUUCAAGAGUAACUCAUGAUCACAAGUUACGUCAUCAUGGUUUCGUACCAUGUCACGGCAUCAUAAGUGAGACAUAAUAAAGAAGCCCUCAAAGUCUGCGGGAGAGACUAAUCUUUUGUGCGAGAUUGUGCUAUCCUUGCUGCACGCAGUGCAAUAUUAUAUGACUCUCAUGUCUAUGGUGGCAUUGUCGAUUAUGAAUGUUUCCUUACUGCGUUAAAAAAAUGUGUAGUGCAUCUUUCAGAUAAUAAUGGCAUUAUAGCUUCAGAGUUGUUCAAGUUUGGGGUACUUGUUCACUAAAAGUACAUUAUCAGAAAAGCUUUAGAAUGUCUAGGUCAUAAUUGCAUUUGAAGAACUAAGUCUUCCUACACAUAGCAAUUGGUAGCUUACUGUGUAAUGUUGAAGGUGGUUUUUAUUCAUAGGCCCUACGCAGAGAGCAGCAACACAAUGCCUGGCAUGUGACCAGGGUUCGUCACAGUGUUUGCAUUUCCAGUGCUCGUAACUGAUUCCAAGCAUAAAUUUGCUUUAUGAAUUCUUUGUAGACAGAAGGUGCUUGAAUAUUAGUUGCAUGAAAUGCUCCAAUGCACACUGUAUAUGUACAGCGUGUCUUUUAUUACCAUACAGAUUUUCUUGUUUUAAAGUUAUGAGCGCAGCAAAUGUGGCAUUCUUGCAGAGGAAUUCCUCUAUUUUGGAACUCCACAAAUUUGGAGGCAGUCACAUUUUAUAGCACUCUCAUUUCUUGCAAAUCUUGAAAGUUGCACCUAAUUCAAGAUAUUCAUCAUUGAAUUUCACUGGUAAAUCGAGGCAAUAUUGGAACAG